rnacentral:rRNA from 1 species
CAGCAGCCGCGGUAAUACGAAGGGGGCUAGCGUUGCUCGGAAUGACUGGGCGUAAAGGGCGCGUAGGCGGAUUGUUUAGUUAGGCGUGAAAUUCCUGGGCUUAACCUGGGGACUGCGCUUAAUACAGGCAGUCUAGAGUGAGGAAGAGGGUCGUGGAAUUCCCAGUGUAGAGGUGAAAUUCGUAGAUAUCGGAAGGAACACCUGUGGCGAAAGCGGCUCACUGGACCAUUUCUGACGCUGAUGCACGAAAGCUAGGGGAGCAAACAGGAUUAGAUACCCCCGUAGUCCCUGUCUCUUAUAC